AACGAACGCUGGCGGCGUGGAUAAGACAUGCAAGUCGAGCGCUGAUUACAGGGUAGCAAUAUUCUGUAGUUGGAGCGGCGCAAGGGUGCGUAACACGUGGGUAAUCUGCCAUGAAGUUUGGAAUAACUCGCUGAAAGGCGAGCUAAUGCCGGAUGUGAAAGCUGGGAGGCAUCUCUUGGUUUUCAAAGCUGGGGACCGUAAGGCCUGGCGCUUCAUGAUGAGCCCGCGGCCUAUCAGCUAGUUGGUAAGGUAACGGCUUACCAAGGCUAAGACGGGUAGCUGGUCUGAGAGGACGACCAGCCACACUGGAACUGAGACACGGUCCAGACACCUACGGGUGGCAGCAGUCGAGAAUUUUUCACAAUGGGCGCAAGCCUGAUGGAGCGACGCCGCGUGGGGGAUGGAAUGGCUUCGGCCCGUAAACCCCUGUCAUUUGCGAUCAACCGUUGUUGUUUAAGAGAUGACAACCUGAUAGUAGCGAAAGAGGAAGGGACGG
rnacentral:rRNA from 1 species